AGGAUUAGGACAGCGGUUUUUCAGUCCGGAGAUCCGGCCACAACUAUUUUUGUCUGUUUUUAUAGCAAGCCAGAGUCUUCGGGUGCAGCUCUGGGACAUCUAAAGGGCCUGGAGAAAUUCAGGCGGGGCCAGUGCCGUGGGUGUAGAUGUUAGGCGUGGAAGAGAUCCUAGAGAGCCUUGACUCUGAGGACUGAGGGCCUCCUUUGUUGCCCAGGCUGGAGUGCAGUGGCUAUUCAUAGGUCGAUAAUGCAAUAAUGGUGCACACUACAGUCUUGAACUUCUGGGCUCAUGUGAUCCUUCUGCCUCAGCCUCCCAACGCUAUCCUCAUCAUACAUAUACUGUGAAGAUAAAAUAUCUAUUGAAGAUUCUUUGAGCACCUUUGGCCAGAAGAGCUACAGAAAGCCAAGGUACAGUUAUUUUCAUAUCCACAACUUCAUUUGCCUUUUCCCUUGUUGUAGCCUCUC